CCCCACCAGAUGUGGUGGAAGUUGUCAAACCAGAUCAGAACGCCUUCGAGGACCACCUUCAGGCACGGACUGAGAAGGAUGUAGAGGUUUUCGACCAGGUGAGACUGAACAUCGACAAGGCACAGGAGAAACAGCAGGAAAGCUAUGGGAGCAAAAUCAAGAAUGGAACCAUGUGCUACGACAUCCGGGCGAAUUACUUGGUUUGGAAGAAGGACAAAAGGAAGGCGAGACCUGGGAAAACUCGCUGCUCUUCGCUCCUAGCUGGGGUCACCAUCUAUUAAGGGUGGAAGCCACACUCUUCUCCAGUUGGAGCAGUUGGACGGUCGACCACUGAAAGCACUGACGCCCUACACUUCGGUGAAGCCCAAUAGACAAAGUAUUUUAAGCUUUGUGUAAUGGCUUUCGUCGUCGGAUGAGGAAGAGUAGUCGGACCAAAGCGCAGCGUGGACCAUCGACUGUUCAAGCCCCCAGUAGGUAUCCCAUCCACCAGAACCAGUGAGUUUGUGAUUCUCUGUGCUCUGACUCGGAGGGGGACCAGCUUAAGGGGUUCUGUCCAACACCCAGACGUGGAUCCUCCUGAUGUCCUUCAAUACCAGCCACCCUCCAUCUUUUCAUUACAUCAUCUACAACUACUGUUAUUAACUAAAAACACUAGCACUGCCAACCCUCAGAAAAAAGAGUGCAGCAGUGCCUUG